UUUGUUACAGCCACGGCGAAGAUCUUAUAGUAACACCAUUCGCACAAAUUCUUGCAAGCUUGCGCAGCGUAAGGAACAACUUUCUGUGUCUCACCAAUGUGCCCACCAAUAAGUCCCGUCGUUCGUCGGGGGCAACGGCAGGAACCACCCCACAA